rnacentral:rRNA from 1 species
CCUACGGGAGGCAGCAGUAGGGAAUAUUGCUCAAUGGGGGAAACCCUGAAGCAGCAACGCCGCGUGGAUGAUGAAGGUUUUCGGAUUGUAAACUCCUUUUGUUAGGGAAGAUGAUGACGGUAUCUAACGAAUAAGCCCCGGCUCACUCCGUUCCAGCAGCCGCGGUAAUACGGAGGGUGCCAGCGUUACUCGGAAUCACGGGGCGUAAAGAGCGCGUAGGCGGGAUAGCAAGUCAGAUGUGAAAUCCUAUGGCUUAACCCUAGAACUGCAUUUGAAACUGUUAGUAUAGAGUAUGGGAGAGGUAGGUGGAAUUCUUGGGGGAGGGGGAAAAUCCGUAGAGAUCAAGAGGAAUACUCAUUGCGAAGGCGACCUGCUAGAACAUAACUGACGCUGAUGCGCGAAAGCGUGGGGAGCAAACAGGAUUAGAUACCCGAGUAGUC